rnacentral:rRNA from 1 species
AAACUCAAAUGAAUUGACGGGGACCCGCACAAGCGGUGGAGGAUGUGGUUUAAUUCGACGCAACGCGAAGAACCUUACCUAGGCUUGACAUGCUGGUGAAACCAUGGAAACAUGGUCUCCCGUAAGGGACAUCAGUACAGGUGGUGCAUGGCUGUCGUCAGCUCGUGUCGUGAGAUGUUGGGUUAAGUCCCGCAACGAGCGCAACCCUUAUCCCCAGUUGCCAUCAGGUAAAGCUGGGAACUCUGGGGAGACUGCCGGUGAUAAACCGGAGGAAGGCGGGGAUGACGUCAAGUCCUCAUGGCCCUUACAUCCCGGGCUACACACGUGCUACAAUGGCAGGUACAGAGGGCUGCGAAGCCGCGAGGUGGAGCGAAUCCCAGAAAACCUGUCUCAGUCCGGAUUGAAGUCUGCAACUCGACUUCAUGAAGGCGGAAUCGCUAGUAACCGCAAAUCAGCAGGUCGCGGUGAAUACGUUCCCGGGCCUU